rnacentral:rRNA from 1 species
UGGGGAAUUUUGGACAAUGGGCGAAAGCCUGAUCCAGCAAUGCCGCGUGUGUGAAGAAGGCCUUCGGGUUGUAAAGCACUUUUGUCCGGAAAGAAAUCCUUGGCUCUAAUACAGUCGGGGGAUGACGGUACCGGAAGAAUAAGCACCGGCUAACUACGUGCCAGCAGCCGCGGUAAUACGUAGGGUGCAAGCGUUAAUCGGAAUUACUGGGCGUAAAGCGUGCGCAGGCGGUUUGCUAAGACCGAUGUGAAAUCCCCGGGCUCAACCUGGGAACUGCAUUGGUGACUGGCAGGCUAGAGUAUGGCAGAGGGGGGUAGAAUUCCACGUGUAGCAGUGAAAUGCGUAGAGAUGUGGAGGAAUACCGAUGGCGAAGGCAGCCCCCUGGGCCAAUACUGACGCUCAUGCACGAAAGCGUGGGGAGCAAACAGGAUUAGAUACCCUGGUAGUCCACGCCCUAAACGAUGUCAACUAGUUGUUGGGGACUCAUUUCUUAGUAACGUAGCUAACGCGUGAAGUUGACCGCCUGGGGAAUACGGUCGCAAGAUUAAAACUUAAAUGAAUUGACGGGGUCAUAGCUG